CUUCCUCUGGCUGCAGUGAAGAACAUGUGGCAGGAAAAAUGCUGCAGUUCCAUCCUCUGGUAGAAGACUGACAAAAUCCCUUAGUUCCAAUUCCAUUGCAACAACUGAUAAAGUUUCUGCUCGGAGCAGGGGAGAAAAAUCUCAUUUAGGUAUUUUGAGUUUAGAACAAAGAAACAAAAAAAGUCAUCAACAAUGUAAUUAUGAACUGAAGUCAUCAAAUUAUCUAAAUAUUGCAAGUGGAAUGAAAUUUGAGACAUACCCAUUUGGAUACAAAUACAACUCUAGGAAAUCUCAAAAGUAAACUGAAAUUAUGACUUAAAACCAUACCUCUGUCUUCACUCAUCAGGUCUACACAUGGCACUAAUGCUAAUGAAAGUCUGAUCUAAUACUUCACAUGUUUUGUAUGCAAUGCAAAGGAAGCCCUGGAAAUCUUAUUAGUACCCUAACUCAGCUGUUAGGUUUUACUGUCUGUAAGACUGGAUGUUUUGCAAGCAGCUUCUCAGACCAAGUUGUUUACUAUGUUCUUAAGCAAUUACAGGACAGUUAUUGCAUGAAAAAAAUUCCAAAGAAAAACUGCUGGCACCAGAAACUAGAACUUUAUGAUAGAGCACGGCAACCUGUGCAGCACAAUGCAACCCCUUGAUGCUGUUUUUCUCAGGCAUUCCAUUGGCAUACUUUUAACAAUGUAUGUGCUUUAUUCAACAUGCUUAAUUUGUCAAAACAAACACACUGGCCCCUCAGCUAUACACAGUAUUAUUAACUUCCUACAAACAUGUAACAAUAGGACUACAUAACUACUAAGGUGGAUUUCUCUACUUCUAGUAAUAGCACUCUGUCGUUUUUUCAGUCUAUGACCUAAUCAUCAAUACAUACUUAAGCCUCCCCUGUGUUAUCAAUAACAGCCCGUUACCUAAGAACCAUAUAGUCACUUAGCCUAGAAAAAACAAGAAACAAUCACAAAUAGCUCUAUUUAGUAAGUUUUUUUACUGGUGUCUAUUCCUGAUCCAUACAGAAACAGUAUGAUUACAACAAGUAACUGUUUUCAAUAUAAAAGGAAUGCCGUGAUUUUUAUCUGAGGGUACAGUGCAUACAUUGCACAAUCUCUUGCUAAUGACCAGAAAGACUGCUAAACUGUAUUGGCUUUAGUCCCCUUUUCUUCCAAAUUACCACAUCAGUUGUCCUUAGUCUGAACAGUUAUUAAGACUGUUAGCUGACAUACAAAGGCUUCUGGAGUUGAGUUGCAACCAACUGAUUUACCUUUGAGUGCUGAAAUGAGAACAGGGCAGUCAUUUCCCUUAAGUCUAGUUCUCUUGCAAAGUUCAGGAAGCAGCUUAUUCCACCACAGAGCCUAAAUCCACAAAAACCCACAGCAAAAGUGUAAAUCAACAAGGACUGCAAUUAAGAGUAUGAAAGAGCUGCUAAAAAUACAGAUCAGGCACGAUGAACUUAAUGCCAGGAAUGCAGUGAUUUUGCAUAUAUUGUAUUUUUCCAUCUUAAGUGUAACCUUUUUCUGCUCAAAAAUCUUCACACAGUGCCCCUUAUACCUCUAUAGACAAAAGUUUAGAAGACAAAAGUCACUGGCAAGACCGAUGCAGUCAGAGAAUUUAUUUUUUUCCCUCUAAACAGCUCUAGGCAAAGUGGUAAACAGCAUUACUCUAAGAACAUUGCUCUGUCGCCUGACCUCAUCUGUCUACUCCCAACAGCUAUAGCAGUGAAUAAGGUUCUGUGUACAAUUUUGUUGACAAGAAUGCAGUGAAGAGAAGGGACUUCUUUCCUCCUUUGAACUUGGUAACUUUUCUUUCACCUGCACUCAGAUUCAGUACUGCAACCUCACAUUCAACCCUAAUGUGGAAACAAUCAACGAAACUAUUUUCAGAUCUGAAUAAAAAGUUCAGAUCUGGUUUUAAACAGAGUUCUAGUACAUCCAUCUAGGAGAGGAUCACCUUUACUGACUCUGGUCAGUAAAGCUGUGUACAAUUAAUUGAGCAGCUGUGAUUGGCAAUGGAAGUAAACUCCUGUACUCCUGGAACACUGGAAUAAUACCAAUUCCAACAUUAAAACUGUAUAGAGGCCUAACAGGAAAAUGGGACAUAAAGACAUAAUCGUUCCACUAGUGCAUCACUACCAGUCUGAUGUUAUAAGGUCAGAAGAUGUCACUAGAACACAGGAAGAACAUCAUUUAAGUGUAAUUUUCUUUGAAGGACCAUGUUCUCCUAUCAGUUAGCUUAUCAGUAAGAUUUCACCUAUAAGCGCUGCCAAUUUAGAACACCAAUUAGUGAGAAACAAGGUAGUUUUUCAUUUACAGUGGAAAAAAACCAUAUUACUCUCCCUUUUCUGAGACAGUCUGCCAUCUGAAAAGACUAUGCUUUAAAUUUACUAUAAUGAAUACAGUAAGUGACAGAAGAAACUGGAGGAAAAAAUACUCCAUUAAAAUCAGUGGGGACUGAGUUAACAAAUUAAAACACCAAGCAAGAGGUUCAAUGCAAGCUAAGCCAUUUACUUUGUCUGAAAGCUGGGCUGUGAUCCAUCCAAAGUCCAUCUGUACACAACAGCAUUUUAGUUAGGAAAAAAAUCCAAAAGACAGUGAACAACUUUACUGAAAGUAGCACACCUGCUUGUCACCUCUGAGCUCGUGCUGAGCGUAGAGCACGGCUGCACCAGGACACCUCGGCAGGAGCUGCUCAAGGGCUUCCUCGUACCUGCCCAGCCGGGUACUGCAGAGCACACGGACGGCCAGGCCCACACUGUCAGCCUCUGCCAGGGGCUCCAGGACAGGCAGAGCUGAAGCCACAUUGAUUGACUGACUACACAGAAGAGACUGAAGACAAGAACAAAAUGUAUUGUUUGGAUUUAAGACAAACUUUGCAAAAAAUGCUAACUAUAACCUUAGAACAGAAGCCCUUACUUGUCGGAAUAAUUCUAAAAUAAUACUUCCCUUAAUAAAUGUUGCUGAAAAUUGAGAAAACAAGUUUAGAGAGGAUGCAAAUGUAAAUAUCAUUGUUACCAACAGAUCUCUUUAGUAUUUUUUUCUUCCGUCGUUUCAAUUGGCCUUUUAUUUCAACUUGGAUAACUUAGGGGGGAAGGAGGAGAAGAGUCUGCUGGAGAAAGUUGUUAAUACAAUAUAUGAAUAUUUGCAGAAUGGCUCUAAGUUGUAAGCAGUAAGAGUUAAUACCUGUUUCAUACCUGUAGUCUUGAGAUGUCUUCAUGGUAAUCUUUAUCAGAUGAACAUCCCAUUGACAUUAUGGAAGUCACCCAUGGGAAAAUCAACCCAAAAUGAUUACAGGAAUUUAUCUAUACAAGAAAGAAUCAAAUUGCAAUAAAAGAAACAUUUCUGUUAGUGACAGUUCCAUGUGAAACUCUCCACAAGUGAAGAAAAUCUUAAUCUCAAAUAGUGUAAUUUAGAAGAGCAGCUACACUUUCUUCUGGUUCAUGCAACUUAGUAACAAAUAAACUGGAAACUUUUAUUCUGUAUUUCUGUAUUUCAGCUUUCCCAUUCAUAAUUCUUUAAAAUUCAUCAUUCACACAAUUUUCUCAUUCGGUAAGCUUUGUGAAAUUGCAAACACUCCACCUGACACAUUCUCAUUUUUCAUUUUAGCCCUUACUUCUAUCCAGAGCUGAGAUUCCUGUUGGAAGUAUAUUUGCAAAUGUCCCAAAGGAGUAGGACUGCCCCGAGCUAGCAAUACAAAUCUGUAACUGCACACUACCUUAUUUGCUUUCAGUCUUGCUUCUUCUAACAGAUAAACUGUCCAGAAUUAAAAUAGUAAGGAUGGUAUUUGGACAGAUUUUGGAGGAACACUGCAGUCCUAAAACCUCCUCUGAGUGAUUACCACUUACCAGAUCCUCUGUUGUUUUUAACGGCUUAGUCUCAGGAAGUUGCUUCUUUGAUAUCCUCCAAACAUACUGAGAAGUAACCCUCAACAAGAGCUCCUGAAGUAUUUCUUCCUGAGAGCACACUACAAGAAGAGCUUCCCAGAAGUCCACCAAGAGCUGAGGAACAGUGUUCUCACUAUUACUACACAACAUCUAAGAACAAAAAUGACAGAAGACAGCAAGUUAACACAGACUAUGGUGAUUAUUAGUAGUAGAAAUUAGAAGAAACAGGAGGAAGAGGUUUUACUUUUAGAAGCAGAAUUUUCAUUUCUUUUUUAUCCUGUGAUUCUACAUAAUAUACUGCUAGGUAAAGUAAAAAGUUCAUGGAAUGAUUUUAAGGUAAUCAAUUCCAAACAAGAGAUUUGAUUUCUUCUUCAAGAUUUACUCCACUGCCAGAAAUGUCACCACCGCCAUCAGCAAAUAUUUACAGAUUGCUAAUUUGGAGGAUUUUAUAUAUGCCAAGCAGCUGUCUUCAAAAGAGGACUACAGAGGCCAUGAUGAGAGAUGCUGUGUAGCUCAGCUGGGUAUCAUGGCAGGACUCACAAGGGAGAUGUUUUAACAUGUGCUGUGUCAGCAAAAAGGACUUUUAUUUGGUAUCCAAAUGGUUUUAAACAACAACACUUGUUCUAAUUUGAACUUUAUGACUUGCUAUUUUUGAUACAGGUCUUUCACAGUAACAGGUAUAGUAAGGCUGCAACAUAUCUACAUUGAAGAACACAUGUUUUGACCCAAGUAAGUUAUUCAUUGAAGAGAAAAGAAAAAAAGGUUUGUCUAAUUCCCAGUUAAAAGAAAGCAAACUUCAGGGAUGCUAGAAAAACUAUUCUGUUAAUAUUUCUUCUCAUAAACUGCAGAGACCCAUUUUUCUUUCAGGAAUUUAUAAAGAACAUCAGAACAUUAUAUACCUUCAUAUUUAAGUCUGAUUCUUUAGAAUUAUGUUUUAAUCCCAAUGAUUUCUUCAAAAGGAGCUUAUGGAAUUAAUUUAUCUACAUUCUGUUAAAUUUCAUUAGCCUUAGGAAGCUCAGUCACUAGGAAGCCAUUGAAAGACCACUGAGAUCAGAAUAUUCUCCAUUCAAAUGACAGCAUAAAAACAAAGAACUUAAUGAAUUUUGGGGGGGGGGGUGUGCAUCAUUUAAUCAGUAUUUCUUUCCAGAAGGUCCAGUUUCUGACUCUGUAAUCAUCUAUCAUGACUGGAAUAUAACCCUCUUUCUGAAGAAGUGCUGAAAUGUGAGUGAAGGAGCAGCUGAGUCUGCUUUUUUUACCAAUAACAUCACUAUGAAAAAAACAGAAGCAAAAAAAUGAUCACAGGCCAACCUUGAAAAAGGUGAACAGCAAACUCAGUUGGCAUAACAAUUCCUCCCUUACGCUGCCUCAAGAGUUGGGGUUGCCCAGUGAAGCCACAAGCCAGCAUUGUCUACAAACAUAAUCAGAUAUAAAUCAGAGGAACCACUCCAACUGUAAUACCCACAAAUUCAGCACUGUACACAGAGCUGUAAGUACCAUCUCCCUAAAAGACACAAAUCCUUACAGCAUCCUUCUUGUAGGCUUUCUUCUUUCAGUAAUAUCUUCUGUGUCUGCCUUAGUCAAAAGAAUUAUAUGGUUUUUGAAAUGACAGAUAGCUCUUGGUCCUAUAAAAAGCUGCAUUCUUAAUGUGCAGACAUCCAGUGUAACAGGUGGACAAGCCUAUAAAGGAAAGGGAUUGUUUUGUCAUUUCAGUUACUAUGUACUUUGAGUCUUUAAAUAAAUCAGGGAAAAAACUAACCUUUGUACAAUGAUCUGACAUUAAAAACAUUCCCUGGCUUUCCUAACUUUGAGUGCUUCACUUAAACAAGAAUAAAAAUACUCAUAAAAGCAUGACAAGAAAUAUUUAACAAUGAGUAAAAAAAAAAAUCAUUUCCCUCUUCAAAGCUGCUACAGUUUUAGCUAUAUGUCUUAAAAUAAUGCAGCCUGAGCCACAUGUCUGAUGUGGGAAACUUAAUCCCAAAUAAUCUGAAUUUGACCAAGUUGUAAAAGACUGCCUGGUUAUAAAAGUCUUGAUUUCAGUUGCUUAUAAAAAGCAAUUACAGAUAGAAGUAUUAUAUUUGCUUGCCUAUUGUUACAUUACAUAUCCCAUAUUAUAUCUCCAAUUUGUUCAAUAUACACCUUUCAGGUAAAACUUACCCUGUUACACUGGACUAAAAAUUGAAAAAUGCAACCUCAUUUGCACAGAAAUAUUCUAAAUUUACAGCUUUAAAAAGAGAAAAUACUACAUUUACAAAUUAACAUACACAGUGAAGCAAGGCAACACAGUAUUAUAAGUGUAACCUGGUUUUUGAAGACACCUCAACAUUUCUUGUAAAAGGUGGAGGCCGGCAGGGGUGACCUAGAGACUCUAAACUGCCCUGGGCUAGUGAGAACCAGAACCAGAACCAGGUAGCUCUUAAACUGGUGUAAAAAAACAGCAGGAAAAAUAAUAAUAGCAAACAAUAAAAGUAACGAUCAUCAUCCUCGCACUUCAAACUCCUGGAGCCCUGUGGCACUGGAGCCCCUGGAGGAUCUGCAGCCUGUGGACAGCAAGCUGCAGCACAGACAUCCGUGUGAGACUGCAGCCUGCACACCCCUCCAAACCUCCUCUGGAGGCAGGAGGCAGCAUUUGGCUGACUGGAGAAAUUGUGAUGGACUUGAAUGUAACCCACAGUGAAAGCUGAGACUGGAGAAUGGACAGGACAGAUUAUGUCACAUGUUUGUAUUAGUUAUCUAGUACCUCUCUGGAGAGCAGAGAAUACGUGUUUGGCUCUUGAAAAUUUUAUAAAACUUCUACUGUCCUAUGGAUUCUUUAUGUCUGCUGUCUGCAUGCUCAACAGAAAUCCGUAAAUGCUAAUGUAAAAUACACCUCAAUCUACCUUUCCUACUAUGCUUAUUAAUGUGUAUCACAACCUUUACAAAUCAAUAGAUUUUUACUGAUAAGCCAUUUAAGGAAGGGGAAAAUUUAGACCUCCAAGGAUCAAAAGCCCUCCUCCUAAAAAGCAUGCCCUAAGUAUGUGGUAGCAGACUUGUUUGAUUGUCUACACUCCUCCUACAAAAACUGGUUUUUCAAGGACACCUGACAGAGAGAAACAUAAUCAGCUACAAUAAGGGAAAACUCUGCACCCUUCAUUCAGUUUUAUAUGGAAAAGCAUGGAAUUUAGCUUAAAAAAAGAAGUGAUUUUAUAGCUUUUGAUGUUUUUGAAAACAUUCUACUCAUGGUCUAGAAUUUAAGAGGGCAAUAACAGAUUGUUUCAUUGAGACAUCUGUAGACCAUCAAAAUACAAUAUGCCAGAGAUAGAAGUAAAAUAUUAAUUUUUGAUGUUACUUCAUUGGUUCAGUGAAUAGAAACUAAGAGGAUUUCAAAAGGAAACUAAGUCAAUUAAGUGCCAUACCACUACCCCAACAGUUUUAGUGAGAUAACGAGAGGUGCACCUUCACAGUCGUAUCAAUAUAGGGAUCCUCAUCACGAGCUGCUGCUGCACUGCAUCUCACUGUGAAACACUGCAGGUUCUCACUGGAGGGAAAUAUGAAAAUGCAACAAUGAAGGAAAGAAAUUAAGACUUGCAAAAAUCAAGUAGCCAGAGAAUCAGCUCUUUUUCCUUUGAAGGGCUUUGAAGCCUAAGCAGGAGGGUCCACUGGACUGACAUAUAAGUCUGCCCAGAGAUUUCCAGACUAUGAAGGAUGUAUCAGAGGGGAAAAAAAAAAAAGGGCAGCAGCAUAGAGAAACAUAGUAAUAGUAUCAGCAAAAUCAUAAACUUAGUACCUUGUAAUGACGUGCAGGAACUGCGGAGUAAGGACUGCCUGCUCUGACUUCUCUGAAUACUGAUAAGUAGAAAUUACUUCUACUACCUUCCCAAUAGAGUAGAGAUAUCCAACAUGAGGUAAAGAGAAAAAGCAAAAGAGACUCAGUAGUUCUCUCUUGUUCUCAGUUUCCUCAUAGGCUGUCAAAGAGCUUCCUAGAUGUAACAAUAAGAAAGACAUUUUAUAUACUUCAUAAAUCCAAACCUGGCAAUUCCAUUGCAAGCCUGAUGCCUAAAAGAUACUAUCAAACCUGCCCAAGUUUCAGACUGGUUUUGUUAACAGCUAGUAAAAAGAACUAUAUGAAGUUAUUAGAGAGAAACCAAGGGAGGGCCACUAAGAUGGUGAAAGGCCUAGAGGGGAAGCCAUAUGAGGAGUCGCUGAGGCUACUUGCUUUGUUCAGCCUGGAGGAGUCUGAUGGGAGACCUAAUAGCAGUCUACAUGCAGUUCCUAAGGGAAUGGCCUGAAGUUGUGUCUGGGGAGGUUUAGGUCGGACAUCAGGAAAAGGUUCUUCCCCCAGAGGAUGGUUGGGCACUGCCCAGG